CACUCGGCUUUAGCAGUUGGCUCCCAAAAGCAUCAUGGCGCCUCAGGCAUAGCGCGAAAUUUCAAAUAAGGCUUUAGUUUGAGAAAUUUUGUUGGGUUUUCGUUAAGGUGCUACUUUUCUACAUUUUAUAUUACUAAAUGAAUAAUUUAACGGACAUGAAAAACUCCUAUACGUAUUUGGAAUCUCGUAUCCUCAAAUUUUCUGAGGAGCUACC